rnacentral:rRNA from 1 species
CAGCCGCCACGGUAACACGUAGGGUGCGAGCGUUAAUCGGAAUUACUGGGCGUAAAGCGUGCGCAGGCGGUUAUAUAAGACAGAUGUGAAAUCCCCGGGCUCAACCUGGGACCUGCAUUUGUGACUGUAUAGCUAGAGUACGGUAGAGGGGGAUGGAAUUCCGCGUGUAGCGGUGAAAUGCGUAGAUAUGCGGAGGAACACCGAUGGCGAAGGCAAUCCCCUGGACCUGUACUGACGCUCAUGCACGAAAGCGUGGGGAGCAAACAGGAUUAGAUACCCCAGUAGUCCCUGUCUCUUAUAC